rnacentral:rRNA from 1 species
GACGUAGGGUGCGAGCGUUGUCCGGAUUUAUUGGGCGUAAAGAGCUCGUAGGCGGCUCGUCGCGUCGACCGUGAAAACCCGCGGCUUAACUGCGGGCUUGCGGUUGAUACGGGCGGGCUAGAGUUCGGUAGGGGAGACUGGAAUUCCUGGUGUAGCGGUGAAAUGCGCAGAUAUCAGGAGGAACACCGGUGGCGAAGGCGGGUCUCUGGGCCGAUAUCGACGCUGAGGAGCGAAAGCGUGGGGAGCGAUCAGG